UACGUAGGGGGCGAGCGUUGUCCGGAGUUACUGGGCGUAAAGGGCGCGCAGGCGGCCAUUCAAGUCAUGGGUGAAAUACCGGGGCUUAACCUCGGGGGUGCCUGUGAAACUGGGUGGCUUGAGGGCCGGAGAGGACAGUGGAAUUCCCGGUGUAGCGGUGAUAUGCGUAGAGAUCGGGAGGAACACCAGUGGCGAAGGCGACUGUCUGGACGGUACCUGACGCUCAGGCGCGAAAGCCCGGGGAGCAAACGGG
rnacentral:rRNA from 1 species